rnacentral:rRNA from 1 species
CCCGCUGAACUUAAGCAUAUCAAUAAGCGGAGGAAAAGAAACUAACAAGGAUUCCCCUAGUAACUGCGAGUGAAGCGGGAAAAGCUCAAAUUUAAAAUCUGGCGGUCUUUCGGGCGUCCAGAGUUGUGAUCUGGAGAAGCGUUUAUCCGCGUUGGACCGUGUACCAGUCUUCUGGAAGGGAGCGUCAUAGAGGGUGAGAAUCCCGGCUUUGACACGGACUACCAAUGCUUUUGUGAUGCUCUCUCGAAGAGUCGAGUUGUUUGGGAAUGCAGCUCAAAAUGGGUGGGAAAUUCCAUCUAAAGCUAAAUAUUGGCGAGAGACCGAUAGCGAACCAGUACCGGGAGGGAAAGAUGAAAAGCACUUUGGAAAGAGAGGUAAACAGUACGUGAAAUUGUUGAAAGGGAAACGUUUGAAGUCAGUCGCGUUGGCCGUAGACUCAGCCUUGCUUCCGCUCGGUGCACUUCUCGGUUGACGGGUCAGCAUCAAUUUCGUCCGCCGGAUAAAGGUUGAGGGAACGUGACAUCUUUCGAGGUGUGUUAUAGCCCUCGAUUUGCAUACGGCGAUUGGGAUUGAGGAACUCAGCGCGCCUUUAUGGUCGGGGUAGCAACCCACGUAACGCGCUCAGGAUGCUGGCAUAAUGGCUUUAAGCGACCCGUCUUGAAACACGG